AGGGGCAGCGGAGGUGAGUGCUUGCACUUGCCAUACGGCGACCGGCGCACGGGUGAGUAACACGUAUGCGACCUGCCCGUAGCAGGGGGAUAAGCGGAAGAAAUUCCGUCUAAUACCGCGUAAUAUCUUUCGGGGGCAUUCCUGAGGGAUUAAAGGAAGUGAUUCCGGCUACGGAUGGGCAUGCGGCGCAUUAGCUGGUCGGCGGGGUAACGGCCCACCGAGGCGACGAUGCGUAGGGGUUCUGAGAGGAAGGUCCCCCACACUGGUACUGAGACACGGACCAGACUCCUACGGGAGGCAGCAGUGAGGAAUAUUGGUCAAUGGGCGAGAGCCUGAACCAGCCAAGUCGCGUGAGGGAAGACGGUCCUAUGGAUUGUAAACCUCUUUUGUCGGGGAGCAAAAAGGCCUCGUGAGGCCACAAGCGAGAGUACCCGAAGAAAAAGCAUCGGCUAACUCCGUGCCAGCAGCCGCGGUAAUACGGAGGAUGCGAGCGUUAUCCGGAUUUAUUGGGUUUAAAGGGUGCGUAGGCGGACUGGAAAGUCAGCGGUAAAAUCGAGAGGCUCAACCUCUUUCCGCCGUUGAAACUGUCGGUCUUGAGUGGGCGAGAAGUAUGCGGAAUGCGUGGUGUAGCGGUGAAAUGCAUAGAUA
rnacentral:rRNA from 1 species